SAGYUAAUACAUGUUGGGGUUUCCCUGUGUUUAUUAGAUAUCACCGAACGGCUUGCCGUUGGGGAGUCAUGAUAAAUCAACGAAUCGUCUAACGAUGCUUCAAACAAGUUUCUGUCCCAUCAGGCUGAUGGUUGUGUAUUGGACUACCAUACCAGUCACGGGUAACGAGGAAUUGGGGUUCGAUUUCGGAGAGGGAGUCUGAGAAACGGCUACCACAUCUACGGAAGGCAGCAGGCGCGCAAAUUACCCAAUGUAAAUACUUAUGAGGUAGUGACAAGAAAUACCAUCGCGAUGCUAUAGUAUUGCGUUUGGAAUGGGCAAAAUUUAAACCAUUUUGCGAAUACAACUGGAGGGCAAGUCUGGUGCCAGCAGCCGCGGUAAUACCAGCUCCAGUAGCGUAUAUUAAAGUUGUUGCAGUUGAAACGCUCGUAGUCUGAAGUAAAUCCACUUGGAAUAACCGCUCGCCUUACUAGUCAGCGACUGGUGAGUAAACGACGGUUCUUCACCUUGAUGAAUCUAGAGUGUUCAAGGCAGGCAUAGCCUGAAUAACUCCGCAUGGAAUGAGACGAUACUAUU
rnacentral:rRNA from 1 species